rnacentral:rRNA from 1 species
UACGUAGGGGGCAAGCGUUAUCCGGACUUACUGGGUGUAAAGGGAGCGUAGACGGCGAAGCAAGUCUGAAGUGAAAGGACGGGGCCCAACCCCGGAACUGCUUUGGAAACUGUCUGGCUAGAGUGCGGGAGGGGUAAGCGGAAUUCCUAGUGUAGCGGCGAAAUGCGUAGAUAUUGGGAGGAACACCGGUGGCGAAGGCGGCUUACUGGACCGUAACUGACGUUGAGGCUCGAAGGCGUGGGGAGCAAAC